rnacentral:rRNA from 1 species
UGGGGAAUAUUGCACAAUGGAGGGAACUCUGAUGCAGCGACGCCGCGUGAACGAAGAAGGCUUUCGAGUCGUAAAGUUCUUUUAUAUGGGAAGAUAAUGACGGUACCAUAAGAAAAAGCCCCGGCUAACUACGUGCCAGCAGCCGCGGUAAUACGUAGGGGGCUAGCGUUGUCCGGAAUCACUGGGCGUAAAGGGUUCGCAGGCGGAAAUGCAAGUCAGGUGUAAAAGGCAGUAGCUUAACUACUGUAAGCAUUUGAAACUGCAUAUCUUGAGAAGAGUAGAGGUAAGUGGAAGUGUUAGUGUAGCGGUGAAAUGCGUAGAUAUUAAAAAGAAUACCGGUGGCGAAGGCGACUUACUGGGCUCAUUCUGACGCUGAGGAACGAAAGCGUGGGUAGCAAACAGG